UACGGAGGGUGCAAGCGUUAUCCGGAUUCACUGGGUUUAAAGGGUGCGUAGGCGGGCAGGUAAGUCCGUGGUGAAAUCUCCGAGCUUAACUCGGAAACUGCCAUGGAUACUAUUUGUCUUGAAUAUUGUGGAGGUGAGCGGAAUAUGUCAUGUAGCGGUGAAAUGCUUAGAUAUGACAUAGAACACCAAUUGCGAAGGCAGCUCACUACACAAUUUAUUGACGCUGAGGCACGAAAGCGUGGGGAUCAAACAGG
rnacentral:rRNA from 1 species